UCAGAAGAGGCAUUUCGUGCAAAGGAAGGAAUCAUCAAUGUUACCCUCUGCCCACUGGCCAUCUUCCCCUCCACCUUCAGGCACAUCUUGCAAAUGUUAUAGAACAUCUCAUCGUCACUGAUGAGGUCCCCAUAGGUUCUCCAUGGAUUAAAUCAUCAACAGUGACAGGAUUUCUUCUGUCUCCAUUGUGGUGUAUAAUCUAUAGACUAUAAUACUGUAUAUACUCAAUAGUAGACCACCUCAGCUAUCUACUCUCAGGAUGAAGUUGGAAGAUGUCUGACAGUGGCCUGAACACACUUAUUUGUCUUAGAGACAACCUCAAGUAUUAGACUGUUGAACAGAUCCAACUGGCUGUAAAUAAUAAUGGAUAAUCUGAUCUCUAAUCUUAUAGUCUAGAUGUGUUUUACAAAAUUAAGAGCUUUUAAUUCAAACCUAUAAAAAUAUGGUGCUUUACUUUAAGACUGCUUGCCCUCAGUACUUCCUGAGUGUAAUAAAUCAUUCUUUGAGUUAUGUCACUGAUUUCUAAUUAUAUUUAAAAUUACAAUUUAUGAACAUACAAGAUUUAUGAACAUGCAAGAUAAACAACCAAAAUAAUUGUAAGAACAUGACUGACUAUAUAAUGGAAAGUCACCUGGAAAUAAGCACUGCUAUUUGGUCUUAUUUAUUUCACAUUCCUCCUCAGCACUCCAUGAAUAAUCAACUGGAAAUGCUGAGGAAGAAGUCAUACAGACAGUUUUGGUUUUGACAUUGAUUUCCAUACUUAAGAAAAAACAUGGAAAUGUUAAAGGAAAUUUCACAUGCCUGUGGGUUGGCAUGGGGAGGAUGGAACACUUUUGAGAGAUUAAAAAAAGUAGCCAUGCAUAUUUUCAUGAAUAAUUUAUUUAUCAAAUUUUUCCAAACUGUGUUUUAAAUAUAUCAUUUUAUUGGCUCAAAUUCCUAUCAGAAAUACUUGUUCAUUUUUAGCCAGAAACUCCAUAGGUGUUAUAGAACACAAAAGUACACACACUAUGACUUACCCUUUUGUCUUAGCAUUUCAAUCUCCCAGGAAUGAAAGUUGCUUUAGGUUUCACAUUGAUCAAAAUAAUUCUGAAGAUUUCAAAUACCCUCCAACUUCACAACUCUGACUUAAUCUGCUUCUCUGUGGAGCAUUGUCUCUGCUAUGAAUCCCCACUGGCUUCAUUCUAGUAGUCUCUAAGCCAAAUUCCAAAUUGAGUGAGGUUUGUGGGUGAUAUUACAGAAUCGACUCUUCUUACAACUCACUCACUCUUCUGUGAUAAGAAUAACUAUAGUGAGAUUCCAAGAUGGUGAAUUUGGGACCAACACACUGUGAUAGGCUACAGAUGAACAGGAAGAAAAAGGAUAGGGAGUACACUCUCAGGAUAGAAUAGGAGAGAAAACUGCACUGGAAAUCCUACAACAGGAAAAGGAAUGUCAUGGACCUGUGUGGAAGGUGCAGACAUGCAGUAAGAACACCAGCACAAGCACAACUGAAGCAGCCAAGAGCUGGAGCAGGAGGCAGCUUGGAGACAGAGGUGAGGCUGGGCUGAAGCAACCCAUGGUGAUAUAGCCAGAGGGAGUCACAGUGUGAGUCUGGACUGGAGCUCUGGAGGCCAGCAGUUGCUACAGGUUGUCCACGGACCCAGUGGAAGGACAAGGGGCAUAUUUAAUUCACCUCAACUUCCCCAUGAAAGCUCCUGCUGCUUGGAUGAGAAGGAGUGAGCAUCAUUUUGGAUUAGAGCAGGAGCUGCAGAAGAAUUUGUGCACAUGCACAGCAACUGGCUGAGCAGGACUCCCUGUUUUUUGCAGUACUGGCAGUAAUGGUAAGGAGAUAGCAACAUUUGGCCAGUGACUUUUAUGUAUGCAUGUGAUCCAGUGACUCUAGCAAAGAGAAUACUAGGCAGUCCCCACUGACUUUGAGCCUGACAGGGAGGUAGGCGGUCAACCUCAGAGGACAAUAAAGCACCCACAGACUCCCAGGAGCAAGACACCUAGGCAGAACUGUCUCGGGGAACAUUUGCCACUCUAUUGACUGGACAGCCUGGUAGGGCAGAGAAACCUGUGCACUCGGAGUCUGUUGGGGCCUUUUGUACUGAGACUGUAGAGACUUGGUGGAUACAUGAAAAGGUACAGGGUAUAGUGGGGCCUGUGGGCAAUCACUGGUUGCAGCUCCACAUGCUUGGAUUUCCUUGGUUACUAAUAACAGGUCUUUGCAGCAGAAAAUGUGCUCACAGUGAAGACUGUGCAGAACACUUGUGGGGUUUAUAAUGGUUCAGAACACACCCAGGCAUUGAGAUCUACUAUAACCACCUGUGUGCUACUCUGGAAAUUACCCCACACCUAAGCGCUGACCAGAGCUCCGUGGCCAUACCAACCAUAUACCUCUGGGUAUUUAAUAAAAGUGCAGGCAUUACAUUAAGUCAUAGAUUCAUAGCUCAAAGAAAAAAAAAACUCUACCAUGAAAAGAAAAAAAACUCCACAAAUUUAUUCAUUGUAUUUAACUAAAUACAAAUGAAGAAAUUCAAGAAACAAUAAUAAAGAAGACCCUGUUACCCUCCCCUAAAGGAAUACAACUAUGUUUCAAUAUUUAAAUGUUUGGAUGAAGAGAUUGAGGAAAUUCUGGAAAUAGAAUUAAAAAGUAAACAUAGGUUAUUCUUAAGCAACCAGAAGCAAAUCCACAAACUUAAGAAAACCAUACAUGGUAUGAAUGAAAAUUUUCCUAUGAAACUGAUAUGUUAAAGAGAAAUCACAAUGAAAUAUUAGAAAUGAAAAAUUCAAUAGACCAAAUAAAAUAUGUGGUGGAAAGCCAUAACAGCAGACUUGGCAUGGAAGAAGAAGGAAUAUUGUCCUAGAAAACAAAACUUUGGAAAUCAUUCAAUUAGAUCAAAGAAGAAGAAAAAGAAGAAAUUAGAAAACUUAAAAACAGUGUUGGAGAUUUAUGGGAUACUAUCAAAUAACACAACAUACAGGUAUUAGAGUUCUUGAAGGUGUAGAAAGAGAGAAUGGAUUAGAAGCCCCAUUUAGUAAAAUAAUUAGAGAAAACUUCACUAAUUUGGAGAAAGAAAGGAACACUCAUGUAGAGGAAGUAUAUAGAUCUCCUAACAGAUAUUACCAGAAAAGAUAUUCACCAUAAAGACCAUAAAAUGUGCAUGAGAGAAAUCCAGAUUACUUUCAGAGGAUCCAGUUAGACUCACAGCUGACUUCUCAUCAGAAACACAAGCUAGGAGAGAAUGGCAGCAUAUAUCCCAAAUCUUAAGAGAAAAAAAAAAAAAACUGUCAACCCAGAAUCCUGUAGCCUGCUAUGUAGUCAUUUAUGAGUGAAGGUGAAAGAAACACCUUUCAUAACAAACAUAAAUUGAAAGAAUUUGUCACUUCUCAUCCAGCUUUACAUAAGCUGCUUAGGGAUGUGUUAUGCACAGAAACACAGAAAGAUAGCCAUCAAUAUGAAAGAAUGUAAAGUUUGAUAAUCCUCCAGUAAACAUACAAAAGAAAUCCAAAGUAAGCACUAGGAAUAUUUACUGGAAAAUGGCAGAGCCAAGUUGUUAAAUAUCAAUAGUCACAUUGAAUGUGAAUGGCCUCAACUAUCCAGUUAAAAAAUACAGGCUGGCUGAAUGGAUUAAAACAUAUGACCAUCUAUUUGCUACCUAUAAGAAAAACAUCUCACUACCAAAGAUACAUACCAACUGAAAGUAAAAUACUGGAAAAAAUUUUCCAUGCCAAUGGAAAGUAAAAAUGUCAGGUGUUUUCAUCCUAAUAUCAGACAAAAUAGAUUUUAACACAAAAAAUUGUAACAGAUGAAGAAGGGCUUUAUAUAAUGAUUAAGGAAUCAAUUCAACAGGAAGAUGUGACUAAAAUAAAUGUAUACACAGCUAAUCAUAAGGUGCUUAGCUAUUCAAAAGAAAUGUUAAUGGAUAUAAAAGGAUAUAUAGACUACAAUACAAUAGUAAGGGGGGAUAUCAGUAUCCAACAUUUAUCAAUAGAUCAAAUAGACAAAAAAAUCAGUACAGAAACAUAGGUAAUAGCGUCUAUGGACCAAAAGGACCUAACAGAUAUGUACAGAACAUUUCACCCUACAGUUGAAGAAUGCACAUCUUUCUCAUCAGUGCAUGGAACUUUCUCUAGGCUAGACCAUAUGCUAAGUCCAUAAAGUAAGUCUCAACAAAUUAAAAAAAUGUUGAAACACAACAUACAUCUUCUCUAGCCACAAUGCAAUGAAGCUGGAAAUCAACAACUCGGGAAUCUCUAGAUCAUAUGCAAACACAUGGGACUGAAAACAUGUUCCUGAAAGAACAGUGGUUCAUAGACUAAAUCAAAAGUGAAAUCAAAAAUUUUCUGGGAACAAAUGAAGGUGACAAUACAUCAUAUCAACAUUUAUGGGAUUAGGUGACAAUACAUCAUAUCAACAUUUAUGGGAUUCAGUAAAAGCAGUGUUAAGAGCAAAGUAUAGCAAUUGUUGCCUACAUGAAUAAAUUGGAAAGGAACCAAAUACAUGAGCUAUUAAUGUAUAUCAAGGACCUAAAAAAAUAACAAACCAAACCUCAAAUUAGUAGGAAGAAAUGCAUAAUUAAAAUUAGAGAAGAAAUAAAACUCAAAGCAAAAACCAACACAAAAGAUCAGUGAAAUGAAGAGCUUAUUUUUUGCAAAUAAGCAAAUUGAUACAUCAUUGGGCCAACUAACAAAAAAAGGGGGAAGAAGACACAAUUCAAUAAAUUUAGAGAUGAAAAUAGAAAUAUAACAGACACCACAGAAAUAAAAAGAAUCAUGAGGAAUUACUAGAACAAGCUGUGAGCCAAAAAAUUGGAAAACUAGAAAAAAUGGAGAGAUUCCUAGACACAUAUAAUCUACCAAAAUUUAGUCAUGAAGGCAUAGAAUAUCUAAACAGAUUGAUAACCAACAGAGAAUGAAUCAGUAAGACCUUUCCAACAAAGAAAAGCCCAGGACCUAAUGGCAUCACUUCUGAAUUCUACCAGACAUUUAAAGAACUAACAGUAUUAUUCUCAAGCUACUCAGAAAAAUUGAAAGUGAGGAAAUCCUCCCAAACUCCUUAAAUGAAAUGUUAAUCAUUUACUUUCUAAGUCAGAAAAAUGAUACAAUAAAGAGAACUAUAAACAAAUAUCCCUGAUGAACAUAGGUGUAAAACUCCUCAACAAAAUAUUAGCUACUCGAAUCCAGCAAAACGUCAGGCAUAUAAUUCACCUGGAUCAAGUGGGAUUUAUUUUUAGUAUUUAGGAAUGGUUCAACAUUCACAAAUCAAUAAUUGUGAUACAUUACAUGAACGAACUUAAGAACAAAACCAAUAUGAUUAUCUCAAUAGAUGCAGAAAAGCAUUUAAUAAAAUACAACAUCCUUUCCUGAGGAAAACCUUAAACAAAUUGGGUAUAGGAGGAAUGUUCCUCAACAUUAUCAAGGCAAUUUAUGACAAACCAAUGGUCAGCAUCCUACUGAAUGGUGAAAAGCUGAAUGCAUUCCCUCUAAGAUUCAGAUCCAGACAAGGACGCCUACUCUCAUCAUUGCUAGUUAAUAUAGUCCUGGAAGGUUUAGCCAGAGCCAUUAGGCAAGAAAAAGCAAUCAAAAGGAUAUAAAUUGGAAAAGAAGGAAUCAAACUAUCCCUAUUUGCAGAUGACAUAAUCCUAUAUAUAGGGAAUCUGAAAGACUCUACUAAGAGACUGUUUGAACUCAUAAAAGAGUUUGGUAAAGUGUCAGAAUAUAAAAUGAGCACAGAAAAAUCAAUAGCCUUUGUAUACACAGACAAUGCCACAGCUGAGAAAGAUCUUUCAAGAUAAGUCCCAUUAACAUUAGCUCCAAAAAUAAUUAAAUAUCUUGGGAUAAAUUUAAGAAAGAAGUCCAACCAAGUUCUCUUUGAUGAAAAUUACAAAAGCACUAAAGAAAGAAAUAAAAAAAAACAACAUUUAAAAAUGAAAAAAAAAACUUCCAUGUUCAUGACUUGGGAGAAGCAACAUCAUCAAAUGUUCAUACUUCUGAAAGCAAAUUAAAGAUUCAAUACAUUUCCUGAGACUAUUGUGGUUACUAGGCAACAGAAUCUGUCCUUUCCAGUUUGUGCCACACAAAACCAGCCAUAGGAGAGUCACUAUAGCAUGCCAGAUCUUAAAACCAAAAUCCUGAGGCAAAGCAAUCACCAAUAACCAUAAAAUCAUCCCCUAAGAAAAUUGGAUUUCCAUGUGCAGAAUCAUGAAGCAAAACCCCUACCUUUCACCUUACACAAAAAAUCACUCAACAUGGAUUACAGGCUUAAAUCUACGACCCGACACCAUCAAAUUAUUAGAGAGCAUUGGAGAAACUCUGCAAGAUAUAGGUACUGGCAAAGACUUCUUGGAAAAUACCCCAGAAGCACAGACAGUCAAAGCCAAAAUUAACAUUUGGGAUUGCAUCAAAUUGAGAAGUUUCUGUACUUCAAAAGAAACAGUCAGGAAAGUGAAGAGGCAACCGACAGAAUGGGAAAAAUAUUCGCAAACUAUGCAACAGAUAAAGGGUUGAUAACCAGAAUCUACAAAGAAAUCAAGAAACUCCACAAGAUCAAAACAAACAACCCACUUAAGAGAUGGGCCAAGGACCUCAAUAGACAUUUUUCAAAAGAGGAAAUCCAAAUGGCCAAUAGACACAUGAAAAAAUGUUCAAGAUCACUAGCAAUCAGGGAAAUGCAAAUCAAAACCACAAUGAGGUUUCACCUCACUCCAGUUAGAAUGGCUCACAUUCAGAAAUCUGCCAACAAUAGAUGCUGGAGAGGAUGUGGGGGAAAAGGGACACUAACCCACUGUUGGUGGGAAUGCAAACUGGUUAAGCCACUAUGGAAAUCAGUCUGGAGAUUCCUCAGAAACCUGAAGAUAACCCUACCAUUCAACCCAGCCAUACCACUCCUUGGAAUUUCCCAAAGGAAAUUAAAUUGGCAAACAAACAAGCUGUCUGCACAUUAAUGUUUAUUGCAGCUCAAUUCACAAUAGCUAAGACCUGGAACCAACCCAAAUGCCCAUCAACAGUAGACUGGAUAAAGAAAUUAUGGGACAGGUACUCUAUAGAAUAAUAUACAGCAGGGACCUGUAUACUUAAACAUGAAAAAUAUUAUUACUGCCUGAGGAGCUGAAGCCCACAGACUUGAGAAGGAGUUAAAAAACAAAAUCCUGAAAUUCAACAUGUAGGUAUGGUGAGAUUACUAACUGAUACAAUGAAUCAUCUUGGAAGCAUUUUACUCAGCUUCACUGUGAACCUCAUUUCCUACUUUUCCACACUGACUACAAAGCCAUUCAGAAGACAUAUUUUCUAAGGAGAACACAUGUUUUGAAGAGCAAUUGUACAGGCAACAGAACUAGAACUACUUCCAAACUUAGGGAAUAUUUUGGUACUAACUAACAUUGUUCACAGUUUCUCAUUUUAGUCUGUCAAUGUACUAUUCCUUGAAAUGAUGUUCCUAUUGUUUACUUUGGUGAAAACAAGUGGCAUCUCCAUGAUUAUUGGUUUCAUUUGUAUUCCCACUCUAAGAUUUCAUUCCAUCAAAAUCAAAAGCCUUGAGUAUGCUGGUUGUAUCUUAGCAUGUGAUUUUUAUUUAUUUCUGAAAGAUUUAUUUAUUUACUUGAGAGAGAGAGAGAGAGAGAGGGAGAAUUUUACAUCAACUGGUUCACUCCCCAAAUGGCCACAGUGACUGGGGCUGUGCCAGGCUGAAGUCAGAAGCUAGGAAACCUUUCCAUGUCUCCUGUGUGGGUGCAGAGGCACAAGUACAUCAGCCAUCCUCUGCUACCUUCCCAGGCAGAUUAGCAGGGGGCUAGAUUGUAAGUGGGGAAGCCAGGACUUGAACUAAGGAACAAAUGGGAUGUCAGCACCAGAGGUGGAGGCUUAACCUUCUAUAUCACAGCACCAGGUAUAUGUGAUGUUUAUAAACAAUUACUGUUUCAGGAUCAGUCUUUAUAAAAUGCUUAUAUUAUUUCCACAUACCUUAUGACCUUGCUAACAGAAGCACUCUCCAAACCUAAUUAUACAGUGUUCAAUCCAGAAAUGACUUAGUUACCGAAUUGAAUAUUUCAGUAUAUUUUUAGGCCAUAGUGUUCUAAUUUUGUAAAAUUUCUUGUUUCUCUUUUAAUUUUAAUUCUUUAUUUCAUUUAAUUUUUCUAAUGUUAAGAGAUAUAAAAUAAUCCCAGGCACUUCUAUGGGCCAGUGUGAUGACUUUUUCCUUUUAGAUGUGUUGUAGCACCAUGUUUAUUUACUGAGAACUAAUGCAUUCAUAAGCACUUUAAUAAUCUGUAAAAUGAACUAGUACAACUUUAUAGACAGGAUAUCAUUUUAUUUUUUAUUUAUUUAAAGAGGUACUACUUAUGUAAAUCUCAACUGUGGAUGUUUCUUGCUUUAUGAGAGAGAUUCAAAUUUCUUACACUGAAACUAGGUCAUGAUUGUUUAAUAUAUUCAGUAGUAUGCCUGUAAGCACCUUGCAGAUACACAUGGGAAUAAUGUAUUAUGAAAAUAAAUAGUUUUCUAAUGAUGUAAGCUGCCCAUAUGAAAAAAUGCAAUUCAAUAAUAGAAAGUUUACUGUAAAACUACAGCUGUCUCCAUUGAAACAGCUCAUACAGACUUUGAAGUAUUCAGGUAGCAGUGAGCACUGCUCCUGUGAUUCAUGGUUGGCAACCUCUUUUCUGAGUAAGUUCUUCACUUGUGGACCUUUUUGACGUAAGCAACUUCAAGUUUACUCUGAUGGGAACAUACAAAGUAUAGUAAAAUGUGAUUCCAGAAACAAAAACAAAUUUUUAUUAAAAGUUUAAAAAAUAAAAAUGAAAUGUAUGCGAAUGAAUGAUAACUAUGUAUGCAUUGAUUAUCCAUGAGAACAUCUAUAAAGGUUAUUACCUGAAAUCUAAAUGAGCACAUUUUUCCUUUUGGACUAUUUUUCCUUGGCUUUAUUUUCCCCUUACUCUGAUAAGUCAGUGUACAUUUUAUAGACUUCCAAUGACUCUAAUCAAGUGAGACUUGAGCUACUAGCACUUUUCUACAUAGGAUCCCAGGUUUUUAACUGUAUAUAAAGGUAGUUAUGGGAAAUGGUGUGCUCAUGUCCGAAUUUGAAAUAACUUAAUUGGUAUAGUGCAUGUAACUAAAAUGGUAACAUCUCUGACAUUAGCACUAUUGCUAAGCAUUUUCUUUGAGUCUUAUUGCUUUUCACUUUCUUCUUACUAACUUCUAAUGUUUUGAAAAUUUAUUGAAGGUUUAUACAACAUUUAUUUAACAAUAAAUUGCAGGCCUGUGAGCAGUGCUGGUAUUUCUUUUGUUUUGUUUUAAGUGGAACCAAAUUUCACAAGAAAGUGCCAGCUGUCAGCUAUGCAUCUCCAGCACAGAGUAAUCCAAAUAGUAAACUGAAUACCCCAAGUUUAUAGGUAAACAGUGCAAAGUAUCUAGGAGAGACUAGAGGAUUAACAUCUUUAACUUCCAAUAGAUGACAUUUCUGAUUUUGAAGUCCAAAAUUUAACAACUGCAGAUGCGAAGUUUUAUAUUCUUCUUAGUCAUAAUGUACAGCCUUAGAAAAGGCAAGUAAGUAUCACAUUGAAAAUGGAGUCAUACAAAAACAACAUAGGGUUUAAAAUAUUUCUUAGCAUAAUGUACAGGGCAUUUCAAGAAGCUUUUGCAAGAAUUAAAUUAAAAAUAAGAUUUUGAAGCGAAAU